CUGGACUAAAAUUACGGAGCGUGGCUGCACGUAGUUCGCUGCAUUCGGGAUUACAGCACGUCAACGUGAGAAAGCCUCUUCAGGCGGCUGCCACAGAGCGCAAAACCAAACGGCAUGCAUUCUGUUGCUCUACAUCAUCCAAGGAAAAAAAAAUCCUCAUUUUAAUGAGAAUUAGUCAACAGCUAGGAUCAUUACCAGGAGGGUUUCUUGACUACCCUCGGUGCUGAUGGAUUACAGAGGGAGAAGGCCAGUCACUGGGAAGCUUCUGUAAUGUUAUUCCCCUCACCGUUAAACUUCUUCAUCAAGGAACUGUCCGUGCUCGUGCUGGGUCUGUCUGAGCGAGGAGAGCAGCCCCUUCAUGAAGAUAAAAGCCUGGCUUGCCACCGAAUCGACGAGUAAGAAGCAUGUCUGAUGACAUUUUAUUCCUGAUGCAAUGUAGGCUAGCUGCCAGAAUACUGGUGAAGAAAUUUGCAGGAAAAAUGGGGACCUCUGCCAUCACGACACUGGAGGAUGUAAAAAGGCGAGAGGAGAAGGAGGAGAAAGAAGAAUCUAUUCUAGCACUGCUUGGGAUUAUUGGAACUGUGCUCAAUUUAUUUGUUAUUGUUUUUGUGUACAUCUACACCACACUUUGAUGGCAUUUUUGAACAAUUGCACAGCACACAGUGCAAAGACCAGCGAUGGUAAGGAUGAUUUCUGAAUUUAAAGCAAGAAAACCCACAGUCUGAAAAGAUUAUCAGAAACAUUCCAGAGCAAAGUGUCUGGCUAAGGGCACUGCAACAACUGCUAAAUGCAUCUGUGAACCCAGGUAGGGUGCUACAUUAUGUAAAUCAAGACAGACAGUAUUCAGUUUCUCAUGGAUAAGAGAUGAAACCCAAAUAAUGGAGCCUGAGAUGGCACUGUUUUAUUGAUAACAAACGUGCAAGGCACAAAAAAUAUAAGCAGAAAAACAGUGAAAGCAAUCAGAACACAGAAAGAGAUUACUUAAAUACAUGAAGAUAUAUAUAAGCAAGUCCCAUGAUGCUUACUGUAGUUUUGUGCAGUCUGUCUCUUCAUAGCUGAGACCAGAAAACAGACAAAAGGGUUUUAUUUCUAGAUCACCAUAAUUUAGGCUUAAAAUCUAAAGGGAUGUGCAAUAAGUGUGGAAAGAGGAACAGUGUUAUACCAAAAAUUGUAAUAUUAUAAGUAAAAUUUUAACUAUUGACUAUAUUCUGCAGCAUUUUUGUUAGUCUUGUGGAAAGCUGGAAAAGCUUAGGUCCUAUUGCCUUUAACCUGAAUCUGUAUUUGAAAUCAUGCUAUACUGACAAUGUGCUUUUCUAAUUAAAACUCCUUUUAAGUGGUGUGAAAAAAUAAA